rnacentral:rRNA from 1 species
UACCAGCACCCCGAGUGGUCGGGACGUUUAUUGGGCCUAAAGCAUCCGUAGCCGGUUCUACAAGUCUUCCGUUAAAUCCAACUGCUUAACAGGUGGGCUGCGGAAGAUACUAUAGAGCUAGGAGGCGGGAGAGGCAAGCGGUACUCGAUGGGUAGGGGUAAAAUCCGUUGAUCCAUUGAGGACCACCAGUGGCGAAGGCGGCUUGCCAGAACGCGCUCGACGGUGAGGGAUGAAAGCUGGGGGAGCAAACCGG